AAGUACAGCUUCAGGUAGGCCACUCGCUCCUGGUGCUUUUUGGAUUCUUUGUCCAUGGUCAUCUGAAAGACAGCCAUGCAUUAACAGCAGAGACAACACUUCAGAAAAGGAAGAUCUGCUCGUUCCUGAACACCGGAGCCACCCAGGCUUGGGAUGCCCCUGAGGACGUGCCCUAUGCCUACAAGGGCAACGAGUGGAUUGGCUACGACAACACGAAGAGCUUCAGUGCAAAGGUUGACUGGCUGAAGCAGAACAACUUUGGAGGGGCCAUGGUUUGGACCAUCGACCUGGAUGACUUCACUGGCACUUUCUGCAAUGAAGGCAAAUACCCCCUGAUCUCCACCCUGAAGAAGGGCCUCGGUCUGUGACCAGCGGCUGCAAGAUCCAUGAACAGUCCAGUCCUCAAGUCCCUGUAGCUCCUAAACAUGGAAGCAGCAAUCCAGGGGACUGGCCAUGAAGAUUCCAGUCCUGUUCCAGCCAACAGACCCCUCUGACCUAAUUGCACACAAUAAAAAUGAUUAAAUGAAGCUUUCUGCAAAAGCAACAA